rnacentral:rRNA from 1 species
AUACGGAGGAUGCGAGCGUUGUCCGGAUUUAUUGGGUUUAAAGGGUGCGUAGGCUGUGCGUUAAGUCAGGGGUGAAAUGCCGUCGCUCAACGACGGAGCUGCCCUUGAUACUGGCGUGCUGGAGUACGGAUGCCGUUGGAGGAAUGAGUGGUGUAGCGGUGAAAUGCUUAGAUAUCACUCAGAACACCGAUUGCGAAGGCAUCUGACGAAUCCGUCACUGACGCUGAGGCACGAAAGCGUGGGGAUAGAACAGGAUUAGAUACCCUGGUAUUCCACGCCGUAAACGAUGAUGACUAACCGUCGGCGAUAGACAGCCGGUGGCCAAGCGAAAGCGAUAAGUCAUCCACCUGGGGAGUACGUCGGCAACGAUGAAACUCAAAGGAAUUGACGGGG